GAAAGCGUGGGGAGCGAACAGGCUUAGAUACCCUGGUAGUCCACGCUGUAAACGGUGGGUACUAGGUGUGGGGUCCAUUCCACGGGUUCCGUGCCGUAGCUAACGCUUUAAGUACCCCGCCUGGGGAGUACGGCCGCAAGGCUAAAAUUCAAAGGAAUUGACGGGGCCCCGCACAAGCGGCGGAGCAUGCGGAUUAAUUCGAUGCAACGCGUAGAACCUUACCUGGGUUUGACAUGGAUCGGGAGCGCUCAGAGAUGGGUGUGCCUCUUUUGGGGUCGGUUCACAGGUGGUGCAUGGCUGUCGUCAGCUCGUGUCGUGAGAUGUUGGGUUAAGUCCCGCAACGAGCGCAACCCUUGUUCACUGUUGCCAGCACGUUAUGGUGGGGACUCAGUGGAGACCGCCGGGGUCAACUCGGAGGAAGGUGGGGAUGACGUCAAGUCAUCAUGCCCCUUAUGUCCAGGGCUUCACGCAUGCUACAAUGGCUGGUACAGAGAGUGGCGAGCCUGUGAGGGUGAGCGAAUCUCGGAAAGCCGGUCUCAGUUCGGAUUGGGGUCUGCAACCCGACCUCAUGAAGUCGGAGUCGCUAGUAAUCGCAGAUCAGCAACGCUGCGGUGAAUACGUUCCCGGGGCUUGUACACACCGCCCGUCAAGUCAUGAAAGUUGGUAACACCCGAAGCCGGUGGCCUAACCGUUGUGGGGGAGCCGUCGAAGGUGGGACUGGUGAUUAGGACUAAGUCGUAACAAGGUAACCA
rnacentral:rRNA from 1 species